GGUGACAAUUUAUUUAAUUUAGGUUAAGCUGCUAAUGAACUCUUCAUACCUCGGAAACAAUUUAUAUAUCCAUCUUGAAAAUACCAGCAGGAAAUAUUCCCAACAUUUGCACUCUGAGAUCCUGGAGCACAGGAACUUGUAUGAAGUAGAAAGGUUUGAUUCUAUGACCGUUCAGCCUUAGCCCUUCACUCCCCUACCCUUUGCUACCUUCUUGCCCUGUCACCCCUCCAACCCAGUCUCUAUCAGCAGGAAUUUUCAAUUAUGAUCCUCCCACUGCUGCAAAGAGCUAUUUUAUAACAAUGUUUUCAAACAAAGGAAAACCAUGUGAUUCUUCCAUUAUUUAAAUGUAACAGUAUUAACUUAAAUUCUAAGUACAGAAAUGACCACUUUUACUAUAAACAGAAGAGUUUAUUCUUCAAUCACAAUCCUUCUGUACUUCCCCAAGUUAAGAUUCUGGGUAAGAUGAAUAUGAGGCAUUAUAUCAGGAGUUCAGACUUUAAGAUUAAUUUUAAAGUGAGAGAAGUCAAGCCUUAGGACUUUCUAAGAGACCAGAAAGCUGUGUUGAUAUUAUGCCUCUUUCUGGUUUCUAUUAUAUAGUAAGGUUUUAAUCAUAUUCAUACCCAUGAAAUCUUUUCUUAAAUGGAACAAAUCAGAGUUUCUGUGUUUAAAAUGUUAUGAUUCAAAUUCCCUUAAAAAAAAAAGCAUCACCAUUGACAAUAAGAAUCUGAGCUAUGUAAAAUCUAGCAGAAUCAUGAGGGGUACACAUUAGUGGCCAUGUUUAAGCACGCUAUGAUGACAGCCUUCCAGAGUUUUCAGCUGGGCUAUUUAAGAUAUGUAUCUGCUCAUAUGUAGAUACA
rnacentral:lncRNA from 1 species